rnacentral:rRNA from 1 species
UGCAGUCGAGCGGUAGAGAGAAGCUUGCUUCUCUUGAGAGCGGCGGACGGGUGAGUAAUGCCUAGGAAUCUGCCUGGUAGUGGGGGAUAACGUUCGGAAACGGACGCUAAUACCGCAUACGUCCUACUGGGAGAAAGCAGGGGACCUUCGGGCCUCGUGCUAUCUUAUGAGGCUAGGUCGGCAUCUAGCGUAGAUGGUGGGGUAAUGGGUCACCGAGGCGACGAUCCGUAACUGGUCUGAGAGGAUGAUCAGUCACACUGUGAACUGAGACACGGUCCAGACUCCUACGGGAGGCAGCAGUGUUGGAAUAUUGGACAAUGGGCGAAAGCCUGAUCCAGCCAUGCCGCGUGUGUGAAGAAGGUCUUCGGAUUGUAAAGCACUUUAAGUUGGGAGGAAGGGCAGUAAAUUAAUACUCUGCUGUUUUGACGUUCCCGACAGAAUAAGCGCCGGCUAACUCUGUGCCAGCAGCCGCGGUAAUACAUAUGGUGCAAG